rnacentral:tRNA from 1 species
GCGCUGGUGGCGAAAUUGGUAGACGCACUGUCUUCAGGUGGCAGCGCUUUCGGGCGUGGGAGUUCGACUCUCCCCCAGCGCA